UACGAAGGGGGCUAGCGUUGCUCGGAGUGACUGGGCGUAAAGGGCGCGUAGGCGGAUGGCACAGUCAGAUGUGAAAUUCCCGGGCUUAACCUGGGGGCUGCAUUUGAUACGUGUUGUCUUGAGUUCGGAAGAGGGUCGUGGAAUUCCCAGUGUAGAGGUGAAAUGCGCAGAUAUCGGGAAGAACACCCGUGGCGAAGGCGGCUCUCUGGGACGGUACUGACGCUGAGACGCGAAAGCGUGGGGAGCGAACAGG
rnacentral:rRNA from 1 species